GCGGUCGUGGUGGAACUGGCAGACACGCUGUCUUGAGGGGGCAGUGCCCUUUGGGCGUGUGGGUUCAAAUCCCACCGACCGCA
rnacentral:tRNA from 1 species